AUAUAUCACGUGGUUAAUUUCCUUAGAUGGUCACAUGAUUUACAUUUCCUAAUAUGGUAUACAGAAAUAUCACAUGCAAUCCUUAUAUGGUUUAACUUCCUAAUAUGGUCGUCAUGCUAACCGUUCGACUACUUUUUCACUUGUAAAAUCUAAUCAAACACAAUGUACUUACAUACGAUGAACAUUCUUCCUCAUUCAGCACUAUAAUUUUCCCUUGCACUGUGUUACAUAGCUCUUUACUAGAUAAUGAUAGUUCGAAAACACAAGAGGCUUUCAUGCGCACAUUUUCAAUCUGAUCACUUUUCAUUAUAUGGUUCAUCAACACUCUGUUGAUAGAAGGAUCUAUCUCUCCACUAAAGAAUUUAAUGGCAUCAUCUCGACAAUCUAAUAUGUCUUCACUCCUAUAACAUGUAUAACAUUCAGCUGUAUUUGUUGCAACACUUCCCUCAUGGCUAAAUGACAAUAAACAACUCACGACAACAAUCAAAAACAUGGCGAUCAUCUUCAAUUUCUAUAGAGUGUGAAAAGGUGACGACACGUGAGUGAAUAAAGGAAAGCUUUUUAUUAUUUUUACCUGAUUAAAAGAACGAUUUUGUUUUAAAGAAAAAAAGAAUUUCAUCAUAUUUUGUUUUGUUUUCUUAUCACUUAUUUAAAUUUUAUUUAUUACUUAAAAACGAAUACUUUAUUACAAUUGAAUAUAUG
rnacentral:lncRNA from 1 species